GUGGGUAGUUUGACUGGGGCGGUCUCCUCCUAAAGAGUAACGGAGGAGCACGAAGGUUGGCUAAUCCUGGUCGGACAUCAGGAGGUUAGUGCAAUGGCAUAAGCCAGCUUGACUGCGAGCGUGACGGCGCGAGCAGGUGCGAAAGCAGGUCAUAGUGAUCCGGUGGUUCUGAAUGGAAGGGCCAUCGCUCAACGGAUAAAAGGUACUCCGGGGAUAACAGGCUGAUACCGCCCAAGAGUUCAUAUCGACGGCGGUGUUUGGCACCUCGAUGUCGGCUCAUCACAUCCUGGGGCUGAAGUAGGUCCCAAGGGUAUGGCUGUUCGCCAUUUAAAGUGGUACGCGAGCUGGGUUUAGAACGUCGUGAGACAGUUCGGUCCCUAUCUGCCGUGGGCGCUGGAGAACUGAGGGGGGCUGCUCCUAGUACGAGAGGACCGGAGUGGACGCAUCACUGGUGUUCGGGUUGUCAUGCCAAUGGCACUGCCCGGUAGCUAAAUGCGGAAGAGAUAAGUGCUGAAAGCAUCUAAGCACGAAACUUGCCCCGAGAUGAGUUCUCCCUGAGACUUAAAGUCUCCUGAAGGAACGUUGAAGACGACGACGUUGAUAGGCCGGGUGUGUAAGCGCAGCGAUGCGUUGAGCU
rnacentral:rRNA from 1 species